GUGCUCACUUCGGCAGCACAUAUACUAAAAAUUGGAACGAUACAGAGAUUAGCAUGGCCCCU
rnacentral:snRNA from 1 species